rnacentral:rRNA from 1 species
CAGUCGCCGCGGUAAUACGAAGGGUGCAAGCGUUAAUCGGAAUUACUGGGCGUAAAGCGUGCGUAGGCGGUGAGUUAAGUCCGCUGUGAAAUCCCCGGGCUCAACCUGGGAAUGGCAGUGGAUACUGGCUCGCUAGAGUGUGUCAGAGGAUGGUGGAAUUCCCGGUGUAGCGGUGAAAUGCGUAGAGAUCGGGAGGAACAUCAGUGGCGAAGGCGGCCAUCUGGGACAACACUGACGCUGAGGCACGAAAGCGUGGGGAGCAAACAGGAUUAGAUACCCCCGUAGUCCCUGUCUCUUAUAC